GACGAACGCUGGCGGCGUGCCUAAUACAUGCAAGUUGAGCGCUGAAGGUUGGUACUUGUACCAACUGGAUGAGCAGCGAACGGGUGAGUAACGCGUGGGUAAUCUGCCUUUGAGCGGGGGACAACAUUUGGAAACGAAUGCUAAUACCGCAUAAAAACUUUAAACACAAGUUUUAAGUUUGAAAGAUGCAAUUGCAUCACUCAAAGAUGAUCCCGCGUUGUAUUAGCUAGUUGGUGAGGUAAAGGCUCACCAAGGCGAUGAUACAUAGCCGACCUGAUAGGGUGAACGGCCAAAUUGGGACUGAGACACGGCCCAAACUCCUACGGGAGGCAGCAGUAGGGAAUCUUCGGAAAUGGAGGAAAGUCUGACCGAGCAACGCCGCGGGAGUGAAGAAGGGUUUCGGAUCGUAAAACUCUGUUGGUAGAGAAGAACGUUGGUGAGAGUGGAAAGCUCAUCAAGUGACGGUAACUACACAGAAAGGGACGGCUAACUACGUG
rnacentral:rRNA from 1 species